CCCAAGGGCAUGCAUUAGUACGGCGAGUGAAGCGGCAAAAGCUCAAAUUUGAAAUCGGCCACCAGGUCGAGUUGUAAUUUGUAGAUUGUAUCUUGAGAGCGGAUUAAAGUCUGUUGGAACACAGCGCCUUAGAGGGUGACAGCCCCGUAAAAUCUAUUCUCAUUGUAAGAUACUUUCGAAGAGUCGAGUUGUUUGGGAAUGCAGCUCUAAGUGGGAGGUAAAUUCCUUCUAAAGCUAAAUAUUGACGAGAGACCGAUAGCGAACAAGUACUGUGAAGGAAAGAUGAAAAGCACUUUGAAAAGAGAGUGAAAAAGUACGUGAAAUUGUUAAAAGGGAAGGGUAUUGAAUCAGACUUGGUGCUGUUGUUCAACUGUGUUUCGGCAUAGUGUACUCAGCAGUACUAGGCCAAGGUGGGGUGUUUGGGAGUGAAAAAGAAGUUGGAAGGUAACUCUUCGGAGUGUUAUAGCCUACUUUCAUAGCUCCUCAGGCGCCUCAGGACUGCGCUUCGGCAAGGACCUUGGCAUAAUGAUUCUAUACCGCCCGUCUUGAAACACGGGACCAAA
rnacentral:rRNA from 1 species